AGUGAACGCUGGCGGUAGGCCUAACACAUGCAAGUCGAACGGCAGCACAGUAAGAGCUUGCUCUUACGGGUGGCGAGUGGCGGACGGGUGAGGAAUAUAUCGGAAUCUACUUUUUCGUGGGGGAUAACGUAGGGAAACUUACGCUAAUACCGCAUACGACCUACGGGGGAAAGCAGGGGAACUUCGGACCUUGCGCGAUUGAAUGAGCCGAUGUCGGAUUAGCUAGUUGGCGGGGUAAAGGCCCACCAAGGCGACGAUCCGUGGCUGGUCUGGGUGGAGGGUCAGCGACAUGGGAACUGAGACACGGUCCAGACGCCUACGGGAGGCAGCAGUGGGGAAUAUUGGACAAUGGGCGCAAGCCUGAUCCAGCCAUACCGCGUGGGUGAAGAAGGCCUUCGGGUUGUAAAGCCCUUUUGUUGGGAAAGAAAAGCAGCAGGUUAAUACCCCGCUGUUCUGACGGUACCCAAAGAAUAAGCACCGGCUAACUUCGUG
rnacentral:rRNA from 1 species